UAGGCAAAGCAGGCGGUAUUUUAUUUAUGAACACUGUUCAAUACCAUGACCUAAGUUCAAGCAUUUAGUUGCUUCCCUCCCAGCAACAGAGCUGUAUCAUCAUCUUUCCUUUUAAUUGCAUGAACAAUAAGUCCCACAACUCUCCCUCUCUUUCCGACAGGAAUCUCAAAAUCUUGGACGUAAUUGGUUUCAGAAUGUAGAGAUCCAUGCAGAAACAAGUGAGAUUAUCAAUUGUUUCUCCUCGUUGUCCACAUGUGAUUAAAACCUCUCUUCAGCAGUUCUCCAUGCAAAUAUGUUUCAUAGAGUCACCACCAAUAUUAAAAAAACAUAAACCAAUGUGUUUCAAUUAGAGCCAAAAUUCUUCUUUCAGCUUUCCAAGGAUAUUUGGAUAGACUUAGUCAUGAGUUCAGUUAGUUUGCCAGAUUCACGUCUCAAAUAUGUCAACAGAUUAAAUUCUAGAACCCCAAUUUGAUUUGUGAAUGAUCAGACUUCCAAAUCCAGCAGCCUCCACUGUACCUUCAAAGACCACACCUUUUUCCCCUCUCUUCACUACAAGAAGUCUGAAAGUGUAAUCAUGAUCAGCAGCAGAAGUAUCAAAAGAACAGACAUUCAAGAAAAGGAAACCAUUUUACUCAAAAGUGUUCUCAUAACCAUAUCACACUCGGCAACGCUAACUUGGCUCCAAUCCAAUGCUGCCUCCUUCAGCUAGUCACCUAUCAAAAAUCACCAAGCAAUAUUUCUGCCAAAAAAUGUUGCAUUUUUUUUUUGAAUUUCCGGACCAAAGUAUAUCUUCCAUACAUGUAGUAAACCCAAAACACCCUCCAUUCACAGCCCCCCUCCCUCUCUCCUCUUCCACUAACAAUGAACUCAUAUUACCCUAAGAUUAGACUCUUCAAGUAUCUUAAUUGGUGACAAUCGACAUAAUUAGGGUCCUGAUAUUAGCAUGUAAUUUGAGGCUUAAAAUGAUGAUGAAAUAGCAUAUCAGCAAACUUGAAAUCAGCUCGAAAGAGGACUACAUCUAUGAAGAUGGAGAAAUAUGGGAUUUUGUCCUAUGAUUUUAUAUUGUAGGGUGCUAAUUGUAGAUGAACUUUACCCUAUUAUCAUAGUAUAUGUUGUUUGUAUGUAAUAUAGUCUUGAUUGAUGAAAAUAGAACAGUGUUAAAUGCUAAAUUGGAUCAGCAGAACAAAAUCAUGAAGGACAAGGGCUUAAAAUCAGCCGAUUAAAAAUAGUGUACGUGGAAUUCUACUUCAGUUAAAAUAGCCAGCCAAGAUUAACAGACCAGGUAGACCACACAGGUUUGAAUUCAUAAAUUGGGAUAUGUUUUCUCAAAUCAUGAUAGAAACCAAGCUGGUUGGAUGAAAUGGAGGGGUACUUAUGAGGUAUUAUGUGAGGUACUUAUGAGGUAUUAUGUGACUAACUUAUAACUUGACAACUUAUAAAGAAAAUAAAGAGCGACAAAUAAAACCUAAAAAAUUGUAUGGCUAAUAGUAUUGGGGAAUAAAGAGGGUCCAAGAAAAAAGUUUAAAUGCAGCAAAAACUAAAUGUUGAGAUGGAAUGUGGAAAAACUAGGAAGAAUAAAGGGAGGAGCUGUAAGGUUUGCACAAAUCAAGGACAAAGUGAUGACAAAUUGAUAGAAAUGGUGUGGAGCCACAGAAUGAAGAUCUCCAAGACUCCAGCAAUGCAUAGUACUUUGAUCUUUGCUGAAGGAUAUAGGAAGAGAAGAAGGGAUAGUGUAACAAAAAUGGAAAUUGUAAGAAAGAAAAUAUGGAAACCUGACAAUAACAUCAUAUUUUAUUGCAAACAGGUAUUGUUAUCAUAUGAGGAUUCAUAAAGCUUGACUCCAAAUAGUUUUCACAAGCCUUGAUUGUUAUGGUUACGGUUUAGAAAUUAGUAUGCUUAGACAAAAGAUAGAACAAAGGCUUCAGAUUUCAUGCUAAGAUAAAUAAAUUUAUUUUGACAAGUCUGGAUGUGGAUAAACCUACAGAGGAUGAAAUGAAGUGCAAAAGUAAAUAAUAGUGAGAGAUGCUAAGGAUAAUCCAAGGGAGCUUCUGUCAUUGGAAACCCCAAGAUUAUUGCCUAGUAUAAAGGUCAAGACCUGAACACCUCCUAUGACAGUCGCACCAUAAAAUUGAAGAAAGAGGAUUGCUUUUAAGAGAAACUUCCAAAAGCUAAUGCCUAAAUAUCACCCCUAGAGAACUGUGUCCACAAAGACUAUUGAAGCAGCUUUAAACACUAGGACACUCCUAGCAAGAUGAAGACACAAAAUACAAAUAGUACAAAUAAUUUCUACGCAAAUUGUGGAUCCUCAGCUUAUGCAAACUUACGGCAUGUUGCAUCACAUUUAACCACACAUGAUCAUUUAUGAAAAUAACAUGAUGUUUUAAAAUGUCACAUGAUAAUUUAACUAAUCACUCUACAACUUGAACAUGGCAAUAAUAAGGCAUAUUACAACUUAAGAAGUCCCAGGAACCAAUCAGAAUAUCAAAACAAAAAAUGAGUACAAGGAUUACAUCAAAAUAAACAAAAAAAGAGAUACAAAAGCUACUCAUUACACCACUAAACCCUUGUAAGGUACUCUUGCAUUAGUUGACUUUGUUUACUUUCAUUACAAAAUGAAACCAUGCACCAUUUGUUUCGCGUGAGCCUAUGAGUUACAGUUUAAUCAGCGAUAUGUGCCAGGAAUGGUUCAAGUAUGAUGUCAGACAUCUUCAUAUUAUGUCUUUAUUUUAAAGACACUGAAAAUUAUUGAAAAAGAAUAAACUUUGGCCUCAAAAGCAACUUUUUGUGUAUAUAGUGCAUCUUUCCCACGUUGGAGUGCAUUUUAUGUCAGCAGCAUGGCAAGUAAGGCAUGCACAACAUAAUGUACAAGUUUUGGUACCAAGUAAUACCAGCUUGUAACCAGCAUAAAAAAAAAUCCCACGUGCUUCUUCAAAAUAUAACCCCAAAAAAAUUACCACAUAAUGGUCAUCAUAGCACAACAUACAUCACCAUCGCAGCACAACAUGCAUCACCUAUUCUACCAAGGAAAGUUCUACCAAUGCAAUAGUAUUGUUUACUUGUUCUUUGCAUAACCUCAGCAGGCAACUGUCGCCAUGUAUCAAAUGACAUCCAUCUGACCUGUUUUACUUCUUAAUCUAUCACCCUACAAUUUGGUUCUUAUAUACUGAUUUACAGAUAAGAACAAUAAAACAAUCUCAAUGUAUAAUUCAUCAAAAAACACUCAAGAUCAAGAUUAAAAAUAACUGAAACAUUCUAGUAUUUGAUCCAAGUCCAACUAAACAAAAGAUUGCCAGUUACUGGUAUAUGAAAGAAUUCUAAAAUAAUACUUUGCAAAGACUUUUGAGCCCUGAGGAAGUUACUGAGCAUUCUUUUAAAAUUUCCAAAAUAUGAAUCGAAAUAAAAUGAGAAUUAGACUGAGGUAACCGCCAUUUAUAUCUAGUGCAGAACUAUUAAGCUUAUCUGCCAUGUAAGUGGGUUAUGGUCGUACCUUGCAGAUUACUUUGAAUGACAAAUAUAUGCUUUUCCAUCCAUAAAUGGUCCACCUUUAAAAGUCAAGUCCAAUAACUGUAUCCUAAAUUAAAUGCUUUAUCUUUGCUACUUCACCAAAAUUUUCCGUUGGAGGAACUGUAUGUCACUGCCAUAACUCUCUCUCUCUCUCUAUCCUCCCCCCUCCCCCACCCUAUAUAUAAAUUAUAUAUAUUCUAUUCAUUUACCACAUCCCCCAUAUAUAAAUUAUAUGUAUUAUAUUCUUUUGAAAAAGCAUGAUAUAUAUAUAUAUAUAUACAUACAUAUAUAUGCAAAAGGUUAUUAAAUUUUUAGCUUGAUCCAAGCUGUAUACUACUAGAAAAGAUCCAACACAAAAUCAAAUGCUUAUAUUUUGAUACCAAGUUACACCAAAAUGCAUUCAGCAUUCAAUAUGAAAAGCCUAUGUCAUGUGCAUGUGGAAACAAAAACCUAUGUCACUUGGACCCUUUGGUUUAACAUUCCAUGCUCACACCCGACACUUGCACAUGUUUAUUAAAGUAAAACUUGGAUAUAGGGCAUGACAAAAUUGUUUAAUGUAGCAAAGGAUCCAGUAGUUAGACAAGCAUCAACACCCAACACAUAUUCUCAAGUCCAUAAACAUAGAUGGAAAACUGACUUGCGUGGCAUAUAAGGUUAAAAAUAUUUAAUACAGAACAUGUGUCCAUUAGAGGUAUGACUGAAAUACAAGCGUCUCAUAUCAAAGACAUGCUGAUUACCAUCCACUAAAUGCAUGAGAAAUUGAUAUAUAUGAAAAUAGUAACUUCUACAGGCCAUAUGAUCAAGAAUAAAUCAUAAUAAAAAUCACUAAAAACUGAAAGGAUGGAUAAUUAUAUUAAGAAGGUUUAAAAACUUUGUUGAAAGGGUAGUAUUAUAGCAAGGUUGAAAAAACACAGAACACAGAAUGAAAAAAAAAAUGUAGAAAAGGAAACAAUUACAGGUAACUGAUUACUAGCAAGCAACAGAUAAAUUUUCAACAUAUGUAUAACAUCCUAUGGCUUUGACUAAUAAACUUAGUUGAUGCCAAGGUAUAUUAGCCAUAACCAGAUGUAUGGCUACAAAUUCGUGCAGUUUUAUUCAGGCAAACAAAGUCACAUACAUUUCAUGCAAAACAAAAUAAAUAAGCAUGGCUUAAGUUUACUAGUUUAUAUGCAUAUCAAAGCAUAAAAAGUCAUUUUGAAUAACAAAAAUCUGAAACAUUCAAAAAACAAAAAACAAAUCACUUACAGCAAAAUUUCAAAUUUCGGUUGCACUCAAAUAUCAUAGCUUGUAUAAUAUUAUCAAUCAGUUUCUGAUAAAUAACACCUUGACUCACUAAAAUAAGUAUCCUAAUAUCCCAGAAUGACACAUUCCAUAAUCACAUGUUAACCCUCUGGAUCAAGGAUCCCUAUAAUACUAUAGUGAGUUGCAGAUAUUUAUUGAGAAAAAUGUCCGGCAAAACAUUACAUAUGCAUUUAGUAAUCAAAAUCAUUAAGUAACAGCAACAUAAAUUAAAAGUAAAACAUGUGCAACACCCUGUGUGAAUAUUAUUGAUCACCGAAAAGCAAAAAUACUAAACUAGCAUAGGAAGAAGAAAACAUUCUUGCAUUGGAAUGUCUCGAAAUGAAUGGUUUCCAACUAGCUCCCAUAUGUGCAACUUUAUAUUCAUCUAUCAGUGUCUAACCGGAGUGCGAUAAAACACAAGAUUAGUUACUAUUAAAGUGAAUGCAUGUAAAGGCCAAAUUAAUGAUUUUUAUAUGCCAAGGAAAACACUGUGCACAUUUGGAAGGAGUUUAACAAAAUUCAGAAUCAUGAUUGCACAUUAAUGCAUGCGUCGGUUUCUGAAUAAGUAGUGGUUAAGAUUGACAGAAUGGGAUAAUUGAGGAUACAAAUUUUCCUUCAACCAUUCCAUGAAACUUCAGCGAUCAUUCUGUAAACCCAAUUUUAAUAAAGAGACAUGCCUGAUGUCUUCAAUAUCACAUUUAUCCCUCUUGAUAAACCAGGGGUGUGAUCCUAAAACUGUCACAAUAUUUUUUUUACAUUAUCUGCAUUUCCUAGUCCAUAACUAAGCCCUGAAAACUAUUAAGAACAGAAUAAAAAGUCUAUCCAGCUUGAAAGCUUUGCUAAGUCUUAUUCUUGGCUGCAUAAUUUUUGUUCUCUCUUCUUCAUACUCUAUUUCCCUCUCCCUCAUCAUCUCAGGACCAUCUAUCAAUUAACUAAUCCAGCAUACAUCGUUACCUGCAUACUCCUGCCACCUAAAAGUAAUUGCUCAGAUUUUCCUACUUGCAUUAUUUUUUGCCACAUAGUUGACAGCACAAAUCACAAUUUUCUUAUGAUACUCAAAUCAGAAUGCACUUGUCCCUGCACAUGCUUGCUCUUAAGCUAUUAAUACCAUCAUAACCAUCAACACGUACAAGCGUCUAUCAGUCUAUACAUGCUGAUUUUCCUCAGUCAUCCAUCAUGAUAUAACACAUGCAACAAAGAAGCCUCUUGCCUGAGAUCCUUUGACAAGUAGAGCUAUUGAGGGAUCAUGAAUGAAUUAACAAAAGGCAAGCAGCUCAACUUUCAUGUAGCUGAUUACUAACAUGGUAUGGAAAUAGAUAGGCAUUAUAGAAUGACACCUAUUUAUGAGUGUGAUACUAGCACAUCGAUCUAUUCCAAACAUGACACCUAUUUAUUAGCACCUCAACAUUGUAUAUUAUUGGCUGUCAAUUCAUAAGACACAUGCCAUGCAACAAGGAGCUGGCUUUCAAGCCUUGAGCAUCCAACUAUGAUCCAAGGUCUGCUGUACCGACCUAUACCAUACCAGUAAGGUACUUGAAUGGUAUCGAGAUUCAGCUUGGUAUAUGGGUUGAACCAAUCCAUACCGGUCUAAACCGAGCGAAACCACCAGGUGCAUACCAUACCGUACCGCCCUAUGCCCAUUUCCAAGCGAUACUAUGGUAAAGCUCCCGAAGAAGUUGAGGAUAGAGGGCAGGCAAAAUGAGAAAAGGGUGUGGGGAGCUGUCUUGAAAUAGGGUGUGUACCAUACUGUACCGACUCAUACCGUCCUGAACUAUUAACAUGCCAGUACGAUACCUAGUAUUUAUAUUGUGGACCUUGAUGGUAGUAUAAUUCAAGCUUUCUACUUAGGUUACACCUUCCCACUUUUAGUCCUUAUAGACUCAAUGCAAGUUUAAAUAUAGUCCUGCUACUGCAUAAACUAUUAAUUCUCUUAGGCCCUUCUUGAUUAAAGUUUAUAGGAAAUAUGGGAGAGUAAUCUAAUUAUUCUGUUAAACUAUUAAUUCUUCUUAGGCCCUUCUUGAUUGAGGUUUAUAGGAAAUACGGGACAGCAACCUAAACUGUUAAACAACCUUUUGCAAUGCACUUGUUUCAGGGGCAAAAUGGGAACUACAAAAAGUUGAAAUGGACAUUUUUCCCACCUAAUGCAAAUAACCUGGAAUAAAGCUACUCUACCAGAAAAUGGAACACUUUUAUCCUGGAUUUGAGCAGGUUAAGGGUAGUUUAUUCUGGGUUAACCACUUUAUCCAAGUCAUCUUGUUCCCAAUGAAAUAGGACCUUAAGAAGAUAGGUACAAAACGUAGUCAUCUGCCUAACAUCAUGAGAUCCAGGUUUUUAUCGACUAACCAGAAUCCCCAAGGUGAUGAGAGGUUCCCUGAAGCUUUUUAACUAGGACAUAGCAAGGCUGAUGGCUUAUGCCCGCAACCAACUCUAUAAAUAGCUCUUACUCUAGUCUACAAAAAACCACUUCAUCUGACAACUUUUGUUCUAAUCUGACCAAGUAAAAUUUUCCUUAUGGAAAAUCUCAAUUUAGCCCCAUUCAGUAGCUCUUACUUCAAGCACCUUUCCCUUGAAAAUCCAUUUUUUUAGGUCCUAUUUCCAUAAUUAGUCUCGUUCAUGUUUCAAGCUCCAUGGAGCUUGCUUUAAAUGCAAUGCUAACACCAAAUCUGAUUCAGAAUAAUAAUAAGCUUAAAGCCUUGGUCAUAACUAGGAUUAUCCCAAAGCAACAACUAAGCAGCUAACAUCCUCCAUAGCCAAUUCUACAAGAGUGCCUACCCUUUUCCGAGAAUGUCAUGAAAUGAUAAGCAAUAACUUUCACUCUAAUCCCACCAUGUAAAAUUUAAGGAAGAAUGAUGUAAAUCAUUGGCCUUCACAAAAUUAUCUAAUAUGGCAUGAUACUUCUUGUAUAUCAUAAAACCGAAUAAAUUAUUAUACAUAGGCCCUUCAUGAAUUCAGUAUUAAAUAGAUAAAUUACGAACUGCAGCCAGUUGUAUGGGCCCCCGUAACGAGAAUGUAAGAUGACGAGUGUACAUAAUAGUCUUGACUCUCAAAAGGCAUUCUAAGUGAUUGAUCACCCACCAACGUUAUUAUCUUGUUUCCCUAGUAGAAUAUCUUGCUAUAUCACAAUUGGUGCAGGCUCACUACAAAAGCAUUGUUAGAAGUCCAUUACAUUGAUCUUCAUUCUUUAGUCAUAAGGCAAACCUUUCAUAAUAAAUAAAGAUGAUGCUAGUGAGCCCUUGAAAUAGCUCUUUUGUUGCCUUCUCCAUAUGUUCUUUUAAAAUAUCUGCUUGUCAUUGCUUGUUUCUUAUUUUCCAUCAAGAUUGAGAAAUUUAAAUUCUAGCCAAAACUCCCAGACUCUCAACAUUCAGCCAAUUCUCUUUUAGAAGUUUGCAUUGGUCACUUCAGGAAAUUAUUUAAAUGGCCUAGCUUUGCAUGUGGUGCCGAAGUGUGGAUUAAAUUCUAAGAUUUGAACUACAAAAUGGGACAGCUGGUCUUUAAACUCUAGUAAGAACUUAGUAAGAACACGAGCUUAAUGUUUUCUUUUUUCAGGUGAGAAAUUUAUUGGCAUCUUCAACGGUUUGGAGGCAACAGUUAUGUCUCACUCCAUCUCUAACUAGGAGUAACAUUGCUAUCUAAAGUAUUAAAUGACUGGAAAUAUUCCAAUCUUUUUCACUAAAAAAAUGGAAGAGUUGCUUAACCAAAAAAAAUGAUUAGAAAAGUCAUUAAGUAUUCAUAUGACAGAAAAAAAGGAAGAAAUUUAUAGUAUUAAAGUGGUCAGCAUAUGAGGAAAUUAUCACAUUUUUGGGAAUACGGAUGCCCUACCAUCUCAGCCAUGACAAGAUGAACCAGCCAUAGCAUAUUCCUUUUCUUCAAUAUAGUUUGUAUUCCUACUAUCUUUUAUCUUCCUUUUCCUCUCCUACCAUUUCUACAACUUGUGUGGCUGAAAUCUAGAAGAAUCCUUGCGGACCUUUUUUGGUACUUGGACGCUCAUAUCCAGCUCCAAAAAUCCAUGUCGGAUUCAUAUAUCCGAAUUGGAAAAGCAUCAGAUACUUAGAUGCUUAUCAAGGAUACCUUUUUUUAACCAUAGCUUUUAAUAACUGGGAGAGAGUUGGCCUCUUCGAAUGAUGAGUCUAACCCUAUAAUAGUGCUAAAAUUAACUUUUGUUCUUUUUAGAGAUUGGUCAAGAAUAUUAGUAUUCAAAUAAGUUUGUAAAAUGUCAUUUUUCUAAAGUCUUGAGCUAAUUAAAAAGUUUGGAUAAGAAACGUGCAUAUUGAAACACCAUAAAAAUAGUAUUUUUAAGUUUUCUUUUAUACAAUAUUUGAAUAUCCUUUGAUUAUAUUUUUCUACAUAUCCCCAGAUCUCCUUUUUCUCCUCUUGCCGAGUCAAACUUGGGCGCAUGUCCAAAUGCAAUUCUCGUGUCCACAUCAACAUGCCAUUGGUGAACAUACAUGCAAAGCUUCCAUAGAACACAGAAAUGCUUCCUAGAGUAUUUAGCAUUUAAAAUGGCACGCAAACUACCCAAGAGAAAAAAGUCACCAACCUUCAAAUUAGAUACCUAUGCCAAACAUCAUAAUCCAAGAAAAAUAACUUAGUCCUCAUGAAGAUAAUCAUGGAAAUAAGAUUUAAAAUGUUGAAUAUGACAGCAUUUUACAGCCGCAAGUAUCAGUAGUGGUCAUUACAUAUUCCUAGAGGAAGUAUCAAGAAUGGUGAUCUAUACCAUAUGUGCAUCUAUAAUAUUGAUAAAAUAUUUUCCAUAAGUACUAUUUAGCAUGGCAUUGUGUGGCCAUGAAAUUAACACUUCCAUGCAAAAAUGCUUCUAACAGCAUCCAAGACAACAUGGUAGACUAAUUUAUCCAUUUUCAUCAUCAGCAUCCUCUGACAACAUGAUAUGGAAUUUGAGCAGCGCCUGCUAUAUAUAUUGAACCUGAAUGUUAUGAAAUCCAAAUUAAUAAAUGUUCACUUUUAAACUAAGAUAGAUUAAUCACCUGAAGCAAAAUGCGUACAAGUUCUGUACUCCCAAACCGUGAAGCUUCUAGAAAGCAUUGGUUGACAUUGUCUGCACCUCCUUCCACCAGCAUCCCCAGCAACCCUUGUAUUGCUGUUGCUGAGACUCCAGAAGCCCAGCCAGGGUCAAAAGAGCUAGAAAAGAGAGUAAGAGGGAAGCACGCAGCGUCAAAGGCUUCAGUGAAAUCCUUUCCUGUGAGAUGAUUGCCAGCAAUAUCCAAAAAGUUUUUGAAUGCUGACAACUGGAGUUGGACCUCAAGGAUUUUGCUGUGGUUUCCUCUACCCUUGUUUUCCUGGCAACGAGAGUGAAAUCCGAUGCACUUUAAAGCCCAUUCUGUAAACUUCUGUACUUUGGCACUGGCUUCCGCCUUCAAAACCUCAUCUUCAUGACAUUCUUGAAGGCGUUCAUGUAACCUAACAAUGAAGCAUCAAAACAACAAAGAUCAAUUAUCCAUAAAACAUAGAACACCUCUGAUUAUGAGACUUACCAUCAUGAAAGGAUGGAAAUAACAAUCUUAAUUGAUAAUUUGACCAAUAUGAAUGCAUGAAUUCUUUCCAGAAACUGCAGAAGUAGUCCAAGAAUAUCAUGUAAUGAAUCAAGAUUUCAGAUGUUCAUGGAUGGGAACCAGGAUAAAACGAGUUUACCUUUGGGCCAUGACAUUGACGGUAUCAGCCAAGCUCAUUGUCUUGCUCUGACAGGCAGAAACACACGAAGCAAGAAACGAUGUCCUCAGGGCCGCCCUCGUGAAAUCAUUCGCGCCAUUGGUGACAAUCUUCUUGAUCAGCUCAGUGAUCCCAUUCAGCUCUUGGUGGGUUGUCAAGAACCAUAUGGAAUCCAGCGCUAUGCAGAGUGCAUCAUUGAGAGUAUGUGGAUCAGCCAGCAGAAUCAGGCUCUCAGCAAGCUCCCAGUCAUGAGAGCUUACUGCCGCCUGGAACAAGCGCCCGAGCUCAAUCCGGUCCUGUCUACUGAGCUUCCUCUCCUGCUUGUUCUUAUCCUUGUCCUUCCUUCGAGCCUCAGAUUCCUCCACCGAAUCUGAGGCCCUCGAUCCGAGAUUCUUGGCACUGCAGCCAUAACUCCUCAUAUCUCGGGGAUCUUUGGCCCGGAGAGGAGCUUCCCUUGAGAAAACGUUGCUUCCCUCCCCUUUGUCUGGCACCAGGGACUCGCUGCCAUCAUCCAAACUCCCAAGACCUCCUUUCUCAUCCAUUUCCAUCUCAGAGCACAGACGAUCCUCCAAAUGCCUCUCCUUGGCUAAAUGCAUGCUGCCGUUCUUCCCAGUCAUCACAAUCUCGCUCUUUCCCUCCAUUUCUCCGACACCUAGCUACCAACCACCCCUUUCCAAACAAAAAAAUUCCAACCUUUUCAAUUACAAUACAAUCACCGAACUCUACCAAAGAAACCAACACCUCUCAAAACAACAGGCAGAACCCAAUCAAGAUCUUCCAAACAUGCAAUCAAACGAAAAGCACCGACGAUUCUUUCGACGACAAACCCAAAUCCCAAUUGAUAAGCUCAAGAAUCCAAAAACCCACCUCCUAAACGCCGAAAAAUGUCAAAUUUCGAACAAAAUUUCGGCCGCCGCGACCAUCAGCAGAACAAAAACACCAGAGAAUCGCAAUCCCCGGCCUCGAACAUCGAAAAGAGAAAACCAGCGGAGACGACCAAAAGGAUCAGCGGCUCCUAAGACGAAAACCCUAGAUACCCUUCAAUCCCAGGAAGCGAGAUCCACAUGGGCCGCCCUGAAAAAAUAAAGAGAGAAAUCCCCAAGCCAGAACAAAAUCCCAUUUCAGCCCAACCGCCAUACAAAAAAAAGGAAAAAUCCGAUUUUUAUGAUUACAGACGCCCUGAUCGUACCAACAAGAGGCGCAAACAAUAAAAAAUUCAGUUUUUCAUUGGGGAAUAUGGAGAAGGUAGAAGGAAUCAAUAACAGAAGAGAGAGAGAGAGAGUGUGUGUGUGUGUGUGUGUAAAAGAAUAAUAAAAGUAGUGAGAAGAAGGCGGAGGAAGGGAAUCGAACCUGGAGGAACCCCUCUGGGACUCGAGCUUUUGAGAGGGAUGAAAUGGGGGUUUUAUUUCUCUCACCUUUUUCCCGUCAUGNNNNNNNNNNNNNNNNNNNNNNNNNNNNNNNNNNNNNNNNNNNNNNNNNNNNNNNNNNNNNNNNNNNNNNNNNNNNNNNNNNNNNNNNNNNNNNNNNNNNNNNNNNNNNNNNNNNNNNNNNNNNGAGAGAGAGAGAGAGAGAGAGAGGAGAAUUAUGAUGUUGUUAAUGAGUGAAUCUUGUUUUUUUUAAUUAUUUUUCUUUUGUGUUUUUUAACUCUCAUGAAAGUGAGAGUCACCACCACAACACAAGAUCCCACCACCCAAGUCCCAACACACAUCUUUUUCGUAGAUGGGGCCCACCCCUUCUUCAGGUUCCCUCUCGCCCACCUCAAUUAUUACAAUAACCCUCUCUCUCUCCUCUCUUCUAACAUGGACCUCCUUUUCAUCCACCACCAUCCAUUUCCCAUCCAUCCACAUAAUCCAACCCCACUCUUGCUUGAUUUGUUUGGUUGUGCACAAACUCAGGGAAUCAUUUGGGUUAAUGGCUAUAAUUAUGCAACAAGGCUCGUGCAUACAAAUAGUAGCAAGGCUGCUAUUUACUUGCUAUUUUUUCUUAACCAUCAUUUUGUAAGAUUUAAUAAUUGUAUUUGUAACUUUAGUGUUUAUAUUUUAGAUAUGACACAUGAUUGGAAACUUUAACCACUUUCUUUAGCUAGUGUGUUUUCUUGUUUUUCUUUUUUUUUUCUUUUAAUUGGAAGGUCUAAGGCCCAAGAAACAACAAUAUGGAACAGAAAUUGGUACAAUAUAGAGUAAGUGUCCAAUAAGGUCCAUAUUUGUAUGCAAGUAGAGCAGCAUAUUGGGUUGCCUCUUCAUAGCCAAUCAAUCUAAUGAGGUGUUGUGAAUGGUCAGUGCAGCUUUCAGCCCUCCCUUUCGAAUAUUUUGUAUGCUGACUUUUUUAAAUGUAUUCAUAUUAGACAUAUAUGAUUCAUCCGUCUUAGCAAAAAUCUCAAAAUGUUGUAGUUGCAAUACAGCUUGAUUUAUAACUUGAAGCAAAGGAUGAGGUGAGCUGACGGUGGAGACUUUUGAUAUCCAUUUAAUGACAAUGGUAGAGACCUCUUCUAAGAUGAUCUUACUGUAAUGUGGACAUCAAACCUUUUCAUAUAGCUUGAAGCUCGGAUAAAGAAACUGAAGCAGUAGAAAAAAUUUUGGAUCGAGCCAAUAAGACUUUGCCCAGAUGAGUCCUACCCAAGAAACCAACACCCGCAAAUCCCUGUACAAAGGAGCCACCCAAAUUUCCUUUUGACUACACCUGAGAGAGGAGCUACUUUUUGACAACCGAGCUACUUUUGGAUGACCCACCGCCUUCCCCUGGACCUUUCACUCUAUUUUCUAGACCAACUGAUCUCACCUCAAAAGAGAUGAUAGAUACGAGUUUAGUGAACCGAUGGCGGAUGGGUUCUCUCUGAAGGUAGAGAAAACUACAAUAGCAUAACAGCCAUAUGAUGAAUAAGGAGAAAGAACGACAACUUGGAUUAUCACUCAUCUUGCUUGAAAAGCCAUCUCUUUGAGUACCUCACCUUUUCCAUCGAAUAAUAGAGGAAUUGAAUAAUUAAGAUGAGCUACUAGAGCUGCAAGUAUCCCAGUACCCUAGAGUAGUUGUCGACUUCCAAUUCAACCGAAUAUGGAAUCAACUCAUUGUAUCAUCAUAUCUUCUUUAGGAGCUAGCUCGUCACAACUAAUAUAAACCAGUUAAUCAACUGUUUAUAAUGCAAAGCCAGCAUACAGGUACUGCACUCCCAUAUGCCUUUUUAAUAAAAUGCAUCAUUGUUAUCAUCUUUGGGCUCGUUUGGUUCGCAAAAAAAAUAGAGAGGAAAGUGUGGUCAACGAAAAAGUAAUGAGAUGCCUCUUGUUUGAUUGGAGUUUUCAAAGGAGAGAGAUGAGAAAGUUGUAUUCCCAUAGAAAUAUGAUUCCCACAUUUCGUGGGAAUCACUCCAUUUUUAUUUUUUCCCACAAAGACCCUUCAGCAUUAAAGAAGCACAUUAAAGAUCUAAUUUUUAUUAAGAGCAUAGUAGAAAUUAUACAUAACUUUUCCAGAAAAGUGAAUGGCCAACCAAACAUAAGCACUUUGAAAAUUUGUCACUUUUCCAUGAUCAACCAAACAUGCUAAAAGUAUUUUCCUAAGCAUUCUCUUCCUAGGAAUUUGUUUCCUAGAAAUCAUAUUCCUACAAGGAAAAAUGCUUUCCGCGAACCAAACGAGCCUUUUAAGUUGAUGAAGCAACAUACACCACAAACUCGACAGCACAAAAUGUUCAUGGAGCAAAGAGCAUACAUUUGUAUCUUGGGUUAAAUAAAACAUGCAUAGUGUUAUAUACGUUCGAAGACGUGUUCAGCUAACCCAUCUUGGUAUACUGCUGUCAGGAGUGUAGUCUGAGACACCUAGAGUUUACAGAUCCAUCUUAGAAGGUAGAUCUUCUCAGGUUCUCAGGAGCACCUCCUUGUCAGCACAACUUCUUAUCUUCGCCAUGUAGAUUAGGCUUUUAGAUUGUGCAAAGACUUCUCUAAGUCGGGAUUGGAAGUAAUAAUUGCGCAAGGGGCAACAUGUAUGACUUCGGUUUGCAGGCCUUUGUCAUGGUCAAAACAAUCCCAGAUUUUGGAGAAGCCUGCAGAAGUAGACACCAGCCAGUUGAAGGAAUUCCAGCAUAAAGUUUCAGUUUCACUAUAUCAAUGCAAAUGACCCUGAAUUUUUCAUCCUCCAAAUUCAAAGUUAAUUCUUUCAUGACUUACCUGUCGAACCAAGAAAAAUCUCCAUUACUCUUAAAAGAGCUGAAUUGUUCUACUGUUUGUAAUUAUUUUAACUCUCAAAGUAGAAAACAACGUGCUAUGGGAAAGUAUCUGCAAGUAAUAUAUGAAAAGGAAUAAAAAGAUCACUGUCAGCUUCAGAACCAGAAUUUGGCAGGAAUAGUGAAAAAUCACAAUAAGUGCAGUCUACAAGAAAUAUGAUUACAGCAUAAAAUGCACGAAACCAUGACGUAUAGCCCAAACCCUAUCUCCUCUAGACCACACAGAUGACAGUAGAGAAGUGAAACGCGUCACAAAGCUUCGUUGAAACAAUGAAGCUACAAUGUGGUGGUGAUGUCUGGACCUGAAACUCUAUCCUUUCUUUUUGGCACCGAUAGAACAGAAAAUAAGUUCCUAAUAAAACUAGCCUAUGGGAAAAUCAGGUUACCUAAAAGGCUGUGGAGCAAAAACAGCAUAUGUUGGAGACAAAGUACAUUCUUUCAUUGGAACAAUUAUGGGGAAAAAAAACACAGUGCUAGUAGAAAUCCCAAUUUUAUCUAGAUACUUCUGCACUCUAUGAGUAAGUCGAUUCAAGGGAAAACAGUACCAAGGGUGGUCGAAUUCAGUUACUGCAUAUGCACCAUGUAAGCUAGAAGGUGACCAAUCUUCUGGCAAGACUUGCUCCAAAAUGUGAGAGGAACCAUGAUUACUAAUACAACCUUUGAUCAAACAUAGCCUCUAAGCCACAUUUAUUGACCUAUUAAGGAAGAUAAAUGCUGAAACCACUGAACUUUUACAUCCUAAUCAUGCAUGAUUAGGUUUUUUGUUUUUCAAUAAUGAAAACAGAAGCAGAAGCCUGCAGCCACAGACUCCAAUAUAUCAAUCUGUCUUAUUUUCUCAAAUGACCAGAAAUAAAAUGAAUUAUCCGAAUGUGAUAUACUACUUGGAUUUAUAGAGAACUUAAAGCGAUAAGAAUAUAAUAACAAAAUAUACAUAAUUACAUAAAUAUGCAUGUAUGUAUGUAUCCACAGACAUGCCAUUUUAUCUCCCUUAUUUUCCUCAUGACUACUGGAAACAGAAAUAUUCAAAGUCAAAACAAAGUUAUCCCAUCACACACAACUUAUUAUGAGCAAGUGUUUAGGAGUCUGAAAAGAUGUUUCAUCAUUUUCUGAUUAUGUCAUACAUAAGUUUUGGAACUCCACAAAAAUAAACAACAGGCCACCUCAUCCUUCACUCCCUUUACACCUUCUGGAAUGCACAAAACAUGUAAAAAUUGUAAAUCUUAUAAAAGAAGCUUGCUCCAUUUGAUUAGUAUUAUAUUCUGUGUUAGCCAUGGUUUCACUAAAUUCAUAAAAGAAAGUCACAAACUAUUUUGCAUACCCAUCUUGUAUCCCAUAUCCAAAAAUUGUGCAAGUAAAACUUGUAGUAGCACUGCGCUAUCCAAAUUUCCUGAGUUGCAAUUCAUAAUUCUUAAAAGAAAAUCAAUUAAGCAGCAGAAAUCCGAGGAAGCACAAAAUGCCAGCAACGAACAGCCAAGAGGACACCUCGAAAUGUUCCUAGAGCUUCUGUGGUUGAUGUCCAAGGUAGAUAAAAUAACAAAGUGAAAAAUCAAAGUCAUUUGCUAAUUUAUUCAUAGAAGAAAAACACUAAGAACAGAUUUUUUUAAGGCAAAAAAUACCAAGAACAAUUGAAAGCUCGAAGAUGCAUACUUGGUGUUGCUUUUGGAGAGAGGAUCUUGAUCCCUCCUUCAACCUUGUAUGCAGAUCCACCAGCACUCGAGAUGCCUAGGCUCUUUGACUGACAUGAACCACCUCUAGAACUAAAAGAAUUUAUCUGAAGGUCCAGCAGCUGUUAAAACAACCUCUGGUGAGCAAGGACCCAAUUUAUGCAUGCGUCUCUCACCUGCCAUGCAAGAAUCUUUUAAUAACCAUAUUUCCUCUUCUGUCGGCUGCUCAGCGGAAAAGGGCCUACUGAAUAACGUGAAUUUGCAAGCUCCCGUGGAACAGCAGCUCCUGAAGAUUUCAGGUACUGAACAAGCUCCCUAAAGAGCUUCCUGUCCUCCUCAUUCACAAAAACAAUUGCAACACCCUCCUCUCCCAUUCUAGAUGCCCUUCCAACUUGAUGAACAUAUUCCGCCAUUGAACUCGGCAUGUCAAAAACUAUCACCUGCCGUACUUUCAACAGAUCCACCCCACGCCCCAAAACCCCAGUCGAGACAAGAACAGAUAUCUCUCCUGUCAAAAACAGCCUCAAACUGUCUCUCCUAUCCUUCAUUGACUUCUCACCAUGAAUUGAGAGAGCUUUCAAUCCAGUCACAACAGUAAUUGCUUCAGCCAAAAGAUCAGCUCCUAGUCUUGAACCCACAAACAGCACAAUGGGUGGUUUAAAAUGCUGUUUGCUCAUCAAUAUCUCGAAAAGCUUCUGUUUCUUCUGCUUAGAUUCCACCCAAAUGACUACCUGUUUAACUGAUUUGCUGGGUCUGCUCGGCUUCCCACAUAUGACAUGUAUCAAGUCUCUAGCCAUUGAGCUUGCCAUCUUCUCGACCUCUUCAGAAAUAGUUGCUGAGAACAUUAACACCUGAGGCUGCGAGAGGGCUUGGAAGAUUUGCAUCACCUGAUCCCGGAACCCUUUCUGCAGCAUGCUAUCCACCUCAUCCAAAACCAGAACAGAAACCUCGUUUAGAUUGAUGUCAUGCUUCGUUAGGAGAUCAAUCAGCCUUCCAGGGGUGCCAACAAUCAACUCUACACCCUUCUGAAUUCGGUAUACUUGCCCAGCCAUGGCAUCUCCACCGAUCACAAGAGCAGUUUUAAAAGGCAAACCCUUUCCAAGAACCUUGGCCUGCUCCUCCACCUGCACACAAAUCUCUCUAGUCGGAGCAAGAACCAUUGCCAAUGGCCCCUUCUGUUCUGCAAGGUGCUGAAGUCGAAUAUUCGAGCAAUGUGAAACUAUGGGAACUAGAAAAGAAGCAGUCUUUCCAGAACCAGUGUCCGCAGAAACAAGCAUAUUUCUCUUAAUCAGUGCAGCAGGGAUGGUCUGCAUUUGAACUGGUGUAGGUAUCAAGUAGCCAGCAGACUCAAGAUUUUGUUCAAGCUUCUGAGGAAGAUUGCAGGAAGAGAAGGACAAGAUUGGAGCAGGGACAGAGUUCCCCUUAAUACAAAUGCCGAUUUUGCUUCUCAAAGAUUCAAUCUGAUCAGUGGAUUCUGAAUUGGGUCUAUUAUCAUCUCUAACAUAAAAGCAUUCGUCACUGACAGGUAGUUUUACAGGAUGGCUGUGGUCCAAAGCUGGCUUCUGGGUACUGGCAAGCCUAGCAAGAAGAGUACUUUUACAUUCUUUGCUGCAGAUAUCAUCAUCUGUCUCAUCACAUAUAUAUUCACCAUAACGUCCGCAGAUAGCACAACGGGGCUCUCCUGGAAGGGCUUCUCUCUGCUCCUGGCAUCGCUCCUUCACAGGGCAUUCUGUGACAGAAUUUAACAGGAAAUACAACAUUUCACAUCUUACGUUUCUAUUCAGCAUUUAAAUGUGAUAGAAAAUGACUUUGUCUGCAAGGUGUAUGGCAAAACGCAGACCAAGAAAAAUGUAGUGUUCAUGCAGGUUUGUGUCAUCCAAAAUUCUGUCAACUAUCGGCUGUAUUGUUAACUGGAACUAUUAUGUUAAACUAUAAAAUGCCAAGCAUGAAGACGUGACAGAAACAGUAAAACAGAUUCCACAAGAUGGAUUCAGAUCGAUGAUUCUGAUGGGGAGGAUAUUGGUCAUCCUAACGUCGGAUUGAGCCAACCUCCUUGACCUCGGCCAUGACUGAGAUGAAUGACUUCGGUAAGGAUCGACGUGCUAUUUUGCUCGGUGCAAUAAGGAUCGACAGUUAAACUGGUACAACAGUAAAUGCAUGAUUGGCACGAUGAUCGCCACAUGCUAAUCAUGUGGAGCCGUUACUAUGCUGUUAAAGCGCAAUCAACCACAAUCGUACAGUUAUGGCACGUCACGCUAAAUCAAAUAAUGGAUACCGCUUUCAUCCCAUAUAAAGAGAUAACAGGGGACCCUCAUGUACGCAAUCUACUACUCCUCUCUACUCAUUUUCUCUCUUCCACUGUUGCUCUAGAUUUCUAACUUAAGCAACGGAAGGCCCUCCGGCCGGAAACCUUCCAGCAAGUGGACUUCUUUGCAGGUUGAUCCCGCCUUCUACCUCGGUUUCAACCGACCUCAGAGUACUGCAGGCGGAGUCCGACCCCAAUCCAGAAUCUAGCGGCAACAGAUUCCAAUCAAACUGAUGAGGGCGAAUGAAAAGUAAAUGAGAGAUAGCUAAGAAGGUCGAGAUCUCAUGCAAUGCAUGCGACCAAGCUCCUGAAAGAUUGCCCAAAACGGAAAAAAAAACAAAAAAACUGUAGUUACAGAUACAUGAUGGAACUUGAAAAGACACAAAGAUAAACGCUUGCCAUCAAUUGAGCUAAGUCUCGAUGCAUCACUAUUAGAUUUAGAUUCUGCAACCUCCCCCUUCCAGCAGCACAAGCAAUUGUUACCGUCGGAGGUGCACGGGAAGAUAGAAAAAAUUUAGUACAGAAGCCACAAGAGACAUGAGUGAAUUAAUUACGAACCGGACCUAGAAGAGCAUAGGAACUGAAAGCAUCCAGAAAACAUCUAAAAUACAAAUGAUGACGCUCAAAAGAUGAAGAAAUAAGUAAAAAGAGAAGUGGUUGGAGUCCAUGUCACGAGCUACCUUCAGCAGUAUCGCCAAUAUCACCGACUGCAUGCGGAGAAGAAGAAGUCAUGUUGCCAUCCAUCGUUGAAGCCAGUAAGAGAAACUGCACCAGCGAUAAGCAGGUGACGAGUACCAACUUUACGAAAAUAAAAUUAUAUAUGUUUAUAUAUCCAUAAUUGAUUAGUGUGUGUAUGCAGAGCAAUCGAUAGACGAGUAGGUUGGUUGUUGGUUGUAGGGUUUUCCCAAAGAAAAGAAAAGGGGAAAGAAAGAGAAAGGGGGCACAUGGAAAUGGGGAGGAGAUGGGGGAAUAGAGAGAGGGCGGAGAGGGGAGACUGACCUGGUCCGGCAGCGGCGGCGGCGGCGGCGGCGGCGGCGAUAGAGCCGUGAAGUUGCACGCGAUUGCGGAGGCGGAGAGGUGAUCCAGAGGCCACCGCCUCUCGCCCACCCAAGAAAAGGAAAUACCAAAGCCACCACCGGCCGGGUCUUUGCGAUGAAGGAUAACCCGCGUCGACCCAUUUAAUUUUGGGUCAGAUGGGGUGGAAACGGAACGGAACGGAACUAAUGUGGGUCGAAGCCACACUAGAGUUAUUAAAGCCAGCUAGUAGAGCUUUUGGACCAUAAAGUUCUGAUUCUCCAAAAAUAUUUUUAGAUGAAAUAAAAAUAUUUAAUAAAAAAUCAAAAAGCUGUUUUAGAUGUACUAUAAAGCUAAUAGUGUUUUUGGAAGAAGCUCUAUUUUAGAGCUUCUUAAAAAAUACUUUUAGCAUGCAUCGGAAAGCUGUUUUGAUUUAUAAAUUUUUUUAGAUCAAAAUAUUCCUAAUAAAAUAUUAUAAUUACAAAAAUUUUCCUAAAACUAUUAUAUUAAUAAAAUAUUAAUCUAUAAUAAUUAUUAUUAUUAUUAUAUUUUAUAUAUUUAUUAUUAUAUUAUGCUAUAAAUAUAGUAUUAUAUUACAUUAAUAUUGAUAUGUUAUGUUAUAUUAUUAUGCUAUAGUAUAUAAUAUUAUAUUGCUAUAUUUAUAAUAAUAUUAUAUUAUAUUAUAGUAAUGUUGUACUAUGUAUUAAUAUAUAUUAUAUUUUGUUACAUAAUACUAUGCAAUAUUUAUUAUAGUCAUUUUAUCAUACUAAUUUUUUUUUUAGUUUAUUUAUCAAGCACAUAUUAAAUUUUACAACACUUUAAAAAUAUAGUUACAAAACAGGAAAUAUUUUUUAUAAAAAACUCCACUUAAAAAAAUUUUACUUCCAACAGCCCUAUCAAACAGACCCAAGUUAUUCUGCAUACGCUGAGUUCCAUUUCUAAUCCGGCGAAGCAUGUGUCCGACUAUUGACUGUUUGGUUGGCAGGUAGAGGAAAAAAAACUCAAUUGAAGAAUAAAAAAAUCAAUUGACUGUUUGGAUUUGUACCAAUUUACAUGUUUCUUUUGUUACUCAAGUAAUUAUACCCUUGAACCAUUUAAGACCCUAUGCUAAUAAGUGGUCUGGCUUUGGGUGCCAUAAGAGCCUGGUCAAUUAUUUAUUGCUUACUGGGAUCACGAGACAAGUAGCUGUUCUCUAAUCAUACAUAACUUAUCGUGGCACGGACCCAACCGAAAGCUGGGUCCGGCCUCAGGCCCAGUGCGGGUCCCGGCAUGUAAGGUUAGGUUGGAUCCACUCAUUAAUUUCUCACAGCAAGCUUGGUUGUAAAUAAGUUUAUCAUCAAAAUGAUACACUCCAAUCAUUAAGCUUGAGAUUGAUUUUUCAACUAGUGUGCGACAUUUCGCUAUCUAGCAAUCAAUAAAAAUGGACUAGGUAGUUUGUGCAUAAGGCAUGCCAUUUUAGUCAAAUAAUCACACUAAUAACAUUAUUCAUCAACAUUUUUAUAUGAUAAAAGACGGGCAAUGAGCAUUUUCUCCGCAGGGGUGAGGGGGGAGGUGGCUUUUCAACUCCACGGGCUUAACUCUCGACAGGCGGUGGAAACUACUAGUGAUGCUUGUUAGAGAAAGAUUAAUGAUCAAUAUAUAAUUCGAUCGAGGAAAUUUUUUUUUUUGAUAUUUAUGUGAAUUGGCGAUGAAAGUGUUAUUUUUCUCCUAUCCACAAGUCUUGAACCAUGAUGGAUUCAAUACUUAUGUGAAUAAAUGAAAGUGUCCUUUUCUUAGACAGUGAUGGAUGCAACAAAUAAGAAAGUUACAAUAGAGGCGAUGGAAAGCAACAAAUAUUUAAAAUUAGAGCUGGACUGAAGGAAUUCUUGUUAUAAUAUAUAUAGAGAGAGAUGUCAUUGUCACAACCUAUUUGAUGAUUCAAGUAAGAGAAUCCAACCAACUCAAGUAUCAUGGCUAUUUGAAUAUAGUUCCAAUUGUGUGCAUGUCAUUGUGGACACUUGGGACCAACCUUUUUUUCCUAAAAUUUAUAGGCGUUCUCAAGACACCAUGUUAGUGGAUCAGAUGAGGUCUAAACUUGAACGAGCCUUGACUCACUUUAAACGAAUCUCAACAAUUGGACUGAUAGAAUUGUAUAUGGAUUCAAACUGAACAAAAUAUGAAUAGACCAACUAUAUACAAAUGACUUGAUAUUCAAGUUAAAUGGAAACAACCAUGCUUGGACCGUCAGUCAAAUGGACUGGGCACAGAUCUAACUUUUGACACCGUAAGCUUCUUAUGUAUGCGUGCAAAUGAAAUGCUUGUUGUAUGAUGAUCCUAGCCAUUGGAAGACGGUGAUUUAGGAUUCAGAAGUUUCAUGCAUGAAUCUUUUGUAUGUAGACUAUUGAAGUCACUUACUAUCACAUAAUUCGCUAAUGCCUUUAAGAAGCAAAAUAAUAUUAUCAUUCAUCGCAUAAAUCUCAUCAUCUUGUCCCCACAAUAGUAUGCAAACCAGCUCCGAACUUUUUCUUUUAAGGAAAAAUCUCAAACUUGAGUUGCUCUUCUAGCUCCUUAAGAAUAGACAGCAUAGUUAUAAGUUCAACAUUCCAGAAAAAUUUAGUAAGAGUCUAAGGUUUGGAAUUCAACCAAAAGUUCAAAAUGAAUAUAAUUUGGAUAUGAAAAUAUUAUAGAAACAUUAUAUUUUUUAUUAAGCAAAAAAAUAUAUAUAUAAGAUGUUUGAAUCCAAUUAAAUUCACUAGUAAUAUCGUAUAGCAUCAUUGAUUUAAAAUUUAUAAACAUACCUGUUGACAAGAUCAAGCGCUAUCAUUACACCAAAAUCGACCGGUGUUAGUGAAGGCGCAACUCUAUUUCCUUAAACCCCACCAAAGGCAGCGCCACGAGUCGACUCCGACCAGGUCUCGCUCACCCCGGACUCCGACCUGGCCUCGCCAUAGGUUCAGGGACCCUCGAGUAUAACCCACCUACUAACCAAGCCAUCGUCGUUGGCAGGCGGCAGGACAUGCUGACAAUGACCCUCCCUGUGUUGCUCAGGGACCGCGCAAGGUAUGGCCCGCACAGCGGCAGAAUAUGUCCAACAUUCCCCCCCCAACGCGAUGCCUGGGUUUCGAACUCGAGACCUCUGGCUCUGAUACCAGUUGACAGNNNNNNNNNNNNNNNNNNNNGAUACCAGUUGACAGAAUCAAGCGCUACCAUUACACCAAAACCGACCGGUGUUAGUGAAGGCGCUACUCUAUUUCCUUAAACCCCACCAAAGGCAGCGCCACGAGUCGACUCCGACCAGGUCUCGCCCACCCCGGACUCCGACCUGGCCUCGCCAUAGGUUCAGGGACCCUCGGGUAUAACCCACCUACCAACCAAGCCAUCGCUGUUGGUAGGCGGCAGGACAUGCUGAGAGUGACCCUCCCUAUGCUGCUCAGGGACCCCGCAAGGUAUGGCCCGCACAGCGGCAGAAUAUGUCCAACAAUACCAUAAUUUUCAUAUCCCUCAAAAAUCAUCUUGAAUUGAUCCUAAAUAAUUCGCAAAUACAUUAUUAAUAUAUGAAGAGAUUGCGAACAACUAAAUAGUACCAUCAGUUGGUUUAGCAAGAGCAAUUCAAAUAAGCAAUUGACAUAAAAAAUUAAGUUCAAAAUUUUUAAUAUAGUAAUUCCAAAAAUUUUAUUAUGAUCUGUUGGACUUCCUAUCACAUUAGCAUUUUUUAAAGUGAAUUUUGCAUAAAAGUCCAUUUGAUUAUUAAUUUUGCAAGAAAAGGUUGGACUUAUUCCUUUCUAGAACAAUGCAUAUUUAGAUAUCUCAAGACUUCAAACAAAUUUGUAUUAGAAAUUGACAAAAAAAUAUAUGCCUCAUACACAUCGAGCAUUUCAAAUUUAUGCGUCAUAGAGGAGGCGUAAGAUUCGAUAUGCGAGCUGAGCAUUAGGCUUCAGUUUGCUUGGAGACCUAGAUUUUGGACAAAUGAAAGGAGAUUGGGGGUAUAGGAUAGGUGAGAUUAGAACUCUUUAGUGUUUUUAAAAAGAAAAAUAAAAAAGAAAUUGUAUCACUUCGCUUAAUCUUGGUCUAGGAUGAAAUCAUCCAAAAACCCAUGGAUGUAUAUUAAUUUGCAAAGAAAAGCUUAAAAAUGAUUUUUCCUGAAAAUUCAUGGUUAAUAAUUUUUUAUUCAGAUUUCAUUUCUCCAAAUCUUGAGUCUUGGCUUUCCCACCUAGAUAUCUGGCAUUUACCAACGUUUACUAGAGAUGACGGCAAAAGCCAAGUCCUCUUCAAUCCGUUUCUUUCUCGUGUCAACUGCUCGCCUCCGUCUUCGACAAAUCUUCUCUCUCUUUUCUCUUUUGACUACCUGUUUUUUUUUCCCUUUUUUUAAAACUCCUUUCUCUUUUUACUUUAAAACCGAUAAAAUAGAAUCCGGUGCCGGUUUCCGAGCUACCCCUCGCCGCCUCGUCUCUCUGUCGGCGUCGUCGCCAUGGAUGAAGAAUACGACGUGAUAGUGCUCGGAACCGGCCUUAAGGAGUGCAUUCUCAGCGGUCUUCUCUCCGUCGAUGGCCUGAAGGUCUUCUCCCAUCCGCAUUUCCUCUUCUCUCUCUCUCUCUUUCUCUCUGUCUCUCUCGGCUUCGUUUCUCGUCUUGCUUUCUUGAUUUCAAGUGAUGGUUUGAUGUUCAUUUUGUGUGAGGAUUUGGGGAUUCUUUCUGGUACCUAUAAGAUCGAGAUCGGCUUCGAUCUUGAUCUCUAUCGGCGGAUCUUGAGUGCUAUCUCUAUUGAUAUUUUUGUAGUUUUUUCCUGUAGUUGUUGUUACAAUUGGUCUUGUAGAUUGAUGUCGAUCGGAUCAAUAUGAUGCGAAGAGUCAAAAUCAAGAAAGGGUAACACAUGGCUUUGACUGUGAAUUUGGAGAGAAGCAAAUAUGGUAGUUCGAGUUUUGAAUCAAGUUUGUUUCCCUUGAUUUCAUAUUCGAUCAUAACUGGCACAUGUGAAUAUUUGUGAUAUGGAUCUUGAUUUGUUUGAUUCGAUUAAUUCGGUCGGAUGCAUCAAGUGGAAUCUAUGCUUAUUUGAUGCACAGAAUUUGCAGUCUCUUGUAAUGGAUGAUGUAGAUGAUAGUCUGACAAGUCAGUGAAUGUUAUUGAUUUCAUCAUCAAAAUUUUCUCUAUUUGAACCCUGUGCGUACUAUAUCUGUGGGUGUCAACAUAAUACAUAAAUUGUUUUGAAAAUUGCAUUGAAUACUUGUUUUUCCACAUAUCUGCCUAAGCUAAUUUUAACUUUCUUGCUGUUCCUAGUAAAAUUGUUUAUUAAUGUGAUCGCAUGAAUAAUGAUUGCUCCAACUUUUGCAUUCUUGAUUGUUUGCAUGGCAUUGUAAAUUUAUACAAUGUCCUCGUAUGACAUCUUCACAUCAUUGUAUAUUGCUUAAAAAGAAUCUGCAUAUUUUUUUUUUCACUGAUUGGUACUAUUAGCGGCGCUGACUAGUUAUGCAAGCAAUGAUAUAUUCCCUUUUUUAUUAUCGUUCUUUUUCUUGACUUAUAUUUAUAUCACGAACUAGGUCCUGCACAUGGACAGGAAUGAUUACUAUGGAGGGGAGUCAACCUCACUCAAUCUCAUUCAGGCAAGAAAACAAAUCUUUUAUCUGUUUGAAUAAUCAAGAAAUUAAUACAUUUAACAUGCUGCAUGCACCUGCCAAGUUCUAUGACUGCUAUAUCUCUUCUCAUGAUAAUUGCCCCCCACAUGCCAUUCAAAAUGGUGUUGUCAAUUACACAUAUAGACAUCUGGGGUCAAGGAUUUUGAUGAGUGUAUGUUGAGAUUGCUUUUUUAUAUGGAUCCAGUAUGUUAUUAUUAUUAUUAUUAUUUUUAUUUUGUUCUUCAUUGUGCAGCUUUGGAAGAGGUUCCAGGGAAAUGAUAGCCCCCCAGCACAUCUGGGCUCCAGCAGAGAUUACAAUGUUGAUAUGAUCCCAAAGGUUUUCCCCCUCCUAUUUUUUGAUCUCAUAAUUCAUGAUACCGUUCACAAUGGUUGACAUUUGUCUUAUCAUAAAAUAAAACAAUAUUCAAGUGUAAAGUGUAUGCAGUGAUGCACUUCUAAAGAAAGCAACACAUAUCUCGUGAUAUGCAUGCAUCUUUGCUUUAUUACUUUGCAUAGUGGAUCUUGUUUGUUAUUCCACUUUGCUUUGAUAAUCUAAUAACUAGCAGUAGUUUAGAUGAUUGUUUGCCUUUAUAUCCUGAAAUUAGCUAUGCAUGUGGUUCGUGGCCUGAAUUGUCCAUCGGGAAUUAGUGUCUUACCUUUUUCUUUUUCCUUCCAUCUCCAUGAUAUGCUCCAUUUUAUCAAAGUUUCUUCCAUAAAAUUGUUGGGCUAGGCUUCUUUCCUGCUUUUCAUUUCUGAGUAGAAAUGUCAUAAUGUUUACCCCCUCGAUAUAACUAAUUUUUCAUGAUUUGAUCUAGAAACAUCAAACUUUGAUAUGGAAAUUUAGUUUGGAUAGUUUCAUAUGGGGUGAAAUUUCCUUCUUAGCAACCAUGAGUACCUGCAAGAAAAUAAAGUUUGUGGCUGGGUUCUUAUUUGCUUCUGUUUGUUAUAGCACAAAGGUAACCCAAAGAAACCCUCCCCUCCCUUAUCUUUUUCUCAGAAAAAGAUUCAAUUGUAUGUUAUCAUUGACAAUGCAGUAGAGCUCUCUUUUUUUUGUGUCUGCUCUCUUUUUUCUGAUUUCCAUAGUAUUCCUUGCUGAUCUGGAAAAAACAUAUCUUUCUUACUUGGCUAGAACCGGGUUUGUUAAGCAAAAGGAGUGAAAGAAGUGCCUAGACUAAAAGGAGUAAUAACUAUGUGGUAUAGACCAAAGUAACUAAUGUAAAGUAACUAAUGGAGUAAUAGCACCGACCAAAAGGCAUGCCUAGACCAUGCAGAUAUCAUCAGUUUCUGAUAUAAAUGUAGCCAUGAAAGAAGUGAACUAUGUGGUAAUGAAAUGCCUUUGAGAAUUGGCAUUCGUCGAAAGCAUUAAAGGCACAAAUAGUCUUGCUUAUGUUAAGUUGAUAGGAGUGCAAGUUCGAUAGGAAUUCAUGUUUGCAUGUACAAACACAUGCAUGUCCACACAUUACCAUAACCCGAAUCAUUGAGCGUUACUAUAGAGCUAUUUGGUUCAGCUUUAUGAAUCCUUCAUCAGUUACCUUUCUAAGGCCAUAUCUUUUGUGGCCAUUUGCCCCAAACCUGUAAAGUCCCCCCACCCACCACANNNNNNNNNNNNNNNNNNNNNNNNNAAAAAAAAAAAAUAUCUAUUUUGUGUUGGAUAUUUCUCUCCUCUUUGUUAAAUCAGCACAAAUCUGAAUCCUGCAUCAACUGAUGCUUUUGUAGGCAUUUAUUAUAGAAGCUUAUGUAUUUUUAAUUGGUCGCUCACUUUAACCUUAAUUUUGGUGAAAAUCUUGCAUUUAACAAAUAGGCACAUGUACAUAUAAAAUCCAUUUAGACAUGCUGAUGUGCACAAACAUAUAGCAUGCUUGCACACAUAUUAGUGUCUAUAUGCAUACAUAUAUGUGUGUCAAUAUAUAACCAUGCAUUGAUUUGAUUUCAUCCUGUUCUACAGUUUCAUGUGCUCACUCUCCUUCUGAUCAUAUUAAAUCUAGUUAAAUGGGACUCAAUCCCCAUUUUGACCUCUCCAUUUUUGCCUUCUUAAAUUUCUCUCUGCACUCUAAUAACCAUAUUUUUUUCUCCUUAGUUGUUCUCUGUCUCUGCUUCUGUUACAGACUGGUAUAUGUGUAUAACUUAUUUAAGAACAUGCAUGCGGUGCAUCCAUAUACAUGCAUACACAUAUAGGUGCAUGUAUACAUGCAUGUGCAAGCGCAGUCUGAGUUCUAAGAUUGUUGUUAUUCUAGAUGGUUGUCUGGGAAGACAGGUAACCUUCUGGGUAGUAGAUGGGACUUAGAAUAUCAAGGUUUUCAGUCACCCAUCUAGGCAGGUGGCUACAUCAUGAUUAUGUAUUUGUUGUUUUUAUGCAUCUGUAAAUAUGUUCUUAUAGAUGCAUCUGCUUGUAUAUGUUUAUUAGGGCCACUAAUGCAGUAGAUUGCUCUAAACUAAUUUCCAUUUAUUUUAGCUAUCCUUUUAAAAACUUGAACUCAUUGUAUUAUGUUUGUCCUGCUAGUUUAUGAUGGCCAAUGGUACCUUGGUUCGUGUGCUCAUCCAUACAGAUGUUACAAAAUAUCUGUACUUCAAAGCUGUAGAUGGAAGUUAUGUUUUUAACAAAGGGAAGGUAACUGUUUCAUUUUUUCUUCUUGAGGGUUUUAAGUUCUGCCCUUUUUCUAAAGAUUGUGGCUGUUUUUUUUUUUUUAUUGUUGACCUUCAGUGAUUUUUAAAUUUAACUCAGGCAACCUUUUUCUCAUUGAAAUAGAUUCAUAAGGUUCCUGCAACUGAUAUGGAGGCACUCAGGUCUCCUUUGAUGGGUUUGUUUGAGAAGCGCCGAGCUCGGAAGUUCUUUAUUUAUGUCCAAGACUAUGAUGAAAAUGAUCCAAAAACACAUGGAGGUUUGGACCUUACAAGAGUGACAACAAGAGAACUUAUCUCGUAAUUGCCUAUCUUUGACAAUUUACCUAAUUACUUCCCCACAAGAAGCUCUCUUAUAAUUAGUGUUUGUAAAUAGUGAAUCUUCAAGCCAUACUAGUUCUCUUUUAUAUAUAUCAAUUUAUUUUUUAUUCUAAUUUUUUUCUAUUUUUUUCUGAAUGUAUAAGCCAACGAUUUAUAUUAUCAGGAUAGCAUGAUAACAAUCGAAAGGAUCAUUUUUAGAAAUUUAUUGGCUUUUUAUAUUUUUCUAAUUAGCCAAUCACUGCCGAAGAAAGCUAGCAAUGAAGAUGAAAACAUUCCAAUUCCUCAUACAAAUUGAGACUAUUGAUGUCUGGAGAAGAAUCCUAAUCCAGUGAAGCUUUUGAUGUAAUUGUCUUAUACUAAGUUAAUUGAAAAGCAAUUAAGUUAUCAUAGGAACAUGAUAAGUGCAUCUUUGAGUGCUUGAAUCUUGAAUUUUGUCUAUUUGUUUUCCGGGUGUGGUACUAACCUUCUAGAAAUGGAAGGAUAUGGAACACGCUACAUUGCCAGCUUGCUCAGGCUACUCUAUUAGUUAUCUCCCAACAUUGUAAUCAUUUUGAUCCUUUUAUGUUCUCAACAUUCUUCAAUAUGACCAUCAUUAUAAUUUUUUAGAGGCCAGAUUAGUUGAACAUUAACUUCUUAAGGUGUAUAUGCAUAGAAUUUACUGGAUUUCUGAUUUUCAUCUACUUUGCAUGCCUCUGGGGGACAGGGGGUUGUAACUGGUGGAUGCUUUGUUUUAUGAUAGUCUAUAGGUGGUUCUAAAAAGUUAUCUUAUAGCAAUGGGUAAAGGCCAAUACUUUGUUUUAUGUUAUGAAGUACAUGUAUGUAAGAGUUUGUACAUAUAUUUAAGUAUCCACGUGCACGCCCAUGUAUGUGUGUAUGUCUAUUUGUGUGUGCAGGCAGAAGAUUGGCUUUGAGAUCCAAGCACAUGCUAAAGAGGGUUGAGAUGAAGCCAGCAAUUUUGAAUCUGUUUUAUCUUGAUCUCCAUUUGUCUCUACUAUCCUUGCUUCACUCACUAGAAAAAUUUACUCAUAAUCUUUCUUUUCUCAUGGCCUUUGUUGUUUCUCAUUACAAUGGUGUUAAUGCUUCCUCUUCUCCCAUUCUUUCUUCCUUUUGUACCCUGUCACAUGGUGGCAAGGUGAAUCUAGUGGCUUCAACAAUAGAAGGGUGAAGUGAUGCAUGCUCUCUCUCUCGCAAUUGAAAGAACACCAACCACCAAAGUUCGCCGUCUCGGUAUUGGAUCCCAUACCGAUACCAUCCUAUUGCAGUGUCUGUACACGGCAUGGUACGAGAUAGCGAGGCCUACGGAGUAUCGGCACAGUACGAAACUACAUAGCGGUUCGGUACCGGUAUGGUACGGUACAGACCAGUAUGGCAAAUUUUGUUAACCACUCAUCUUCACCAUAGAAUCCCACUCUUUUGAACCCAUCCCAAAUCUUUUACUUGCCUCCCAAAUCAUGGCGAAAAAAACAGCUCAUAUUAUGCUGCUUACUCGUCAGAUGUGACCUAUCACUUCUCAUUAUAGGUACCCAUUCCAUCCAACCUAGUUGAUUCCAGGCCUAAACAUCUUUCCUUCCCCUCCUCAACUCUUAGGGAGAAGCAACCCUCCAACCACAUCCACUUGAUCAUAAUGGUCUUGACAUCAGGUUGCAUAAGAUCAAAAGCCAUCAUUUUUCUCUUCAUGUUAGCUCCCGAUCUUUUGCAUAAUUGGUUUAACUCCAUAAUCAUCAUGGCACCUUACUACGUAACUCCAUUGUGGAAGUCUUGUAUAACUAGCAGUAAAGUUAGAAUUCAUUAGGGUAGCAUUCUCAAGGAUGAAAGCAACUAGCUUUUUUCUAUUAUUUAAAAACCAAGAAGUUACUUGAUGUGAGGUAAUCUUCCAUUGCGGUGCUUGCAACAAUCAAAUUGUUAGAUUUGCAUCUAAGGUGUUAGCUAUACCGAAGCAUGCAAAGAAGACUUAUUAUUUGCAUAACAAGUACUAAGCAUGUAUCGAUAUAUUUCUUUGUAGUGUAAGGUCCAAAGGAUAUUCUAUGCAAAAGGGAGUCAUCAAUAUGAUUAUACAUGAGUAAAUAUGAUUUAUCACAACAUUGAAAUUCAGAAAUGUAUUCCUUGUUUGCUAAUACUUUCUUUUGUGUUGGAUAAGGAGUUGCUUACGGAAUUGGUCUUUUUUGGUAUAAAUAUUUAUUAUUUGCUAGUCUAUGCACUUAUUCUUGCUUAUCAUUGAUCUAUUUACUAUUUUUUAUACUCUUAUUCUCUAUGUUCCACAUGCUAUUUGUAAAAUUAAAAUUGUUGUAGAUGGAGGGGUCAUAAGUGAGAGUAUAUGUAUUGUGGUUUGAACACGAAGCAUGUUGUGGAAGUUAUUACUUUGAAUACAAUGCCUCAAGAGUGUCAUGAUGUAGGAUCUCAUCCAAAAAGGCUGGCUAGAACAUGUUAUUUGGAUUUCUUGGUCUUGUAUAAGUAUCCAAGAUUUACCUAAAGCUUAACCAAUGCGGAUACAAACAUACUUGCACGAAUGCGCACAUACCCCCACUUUCCUAGUUUAAGCUCUGAUAUUCUCAUCAGGCUAAGAGUCCAAAUCCAAUCAAAUUUAAUCACAAAUACAAUGAUAAACUGUGGAGCCCGUCUGUAUUAGCCCUAGUCACAUAUGGAUUAUGGGUUGAUUUGCUCUGAUACUAUUUGCAAUGACCGAGGACCUCCACCAAAAAGGUUAGCCAUAAGGUGUUACUUAGUUUUUCUUGGCCCUCUUUAAGUACCCAAGACCUACCUAGCACACAACCAAUGUGGAACUAAACACACUUGCAUGGGUCCUCACAUGUAAGACUGUUAGAGUAGACAGUUAAUUGCAGUGAUUUUUUAUUUAUUAUUUUUUUUUUUUUGCAUUUUUGGGUCCUUUGGACAAGUAUAUCCAGGCACGUAAAAGCUAAUACUAUGGAUUAUAACCAAGGUUCAAAGUGCCAUGCUGUGCCCAUGUUUGGCAUGCACUCGUACAACAGUGCGGUGCACAGCCGACAAUGCAAGGCAUUGUCCCAAAACUGACCGGUGAUGUACUCCAUUGCCAUAAUUCUGAUGGUUAUAGUACUGGCUCAACGGUAGUCAAGGGAAUUAGCUGGUUUGGUGGAAUGAACCAAAAGAAUUUGCUUAUUUGGGGCUUCUCUUUGGUGUAUGGGAAGGGAUGCUAAUGCCCUAGCAAAUGGGUAUUGUUUUGGAUUAUUUGUCUUGCAUUUACUAUACUUCCUUUUCUCCUUAUCUACUUGAAGAGUCACCAUUUAGCCAGAUGAUCUCUGUUUACUAUUCAGGAAGCAGUGAAGCACAAUAUAGUUGACCAUUAUUUUCUUGAGUACUAUCUUUUGUUUCUUCACUAGCUAUUCUUUUGUUCGGUAUCCUAUUACUAUCAUAAAAUAGUGAAAAUAUAAGUGCUAGUUUUGGACUUUCUUAUAUCUAGAUUUGACUUAAGUUUGUGAAAUUUAAUGGUCAGAAAAUAUGGUUUGGAUGACAACACAGUAGACUUCAUUGGUCAUGCAUUGGCGCUGCAUAGAGAUGAUCGCUAUCUAGAUGAACCUGCGCUUGAUACUGUGAAAAGGAUGAAGGUAAUUUUUUGUUGCUGAGAGUAUGAUUUACAAUUUUCUUAGUUUAAACUUGAUUGUUAUUUUUUUUCAAUUCAGAAUUGCCUGACCCGAUAUAACGAAAUAACGAAUACAAAAUUAAGAUGGUAUUUAGUGUAAAUAAUUAACUGAGUAUUUUAGCUUGUUUCAGAGUUUUUCAGUAAUGUUUAGUUUAGAUUUAAAUCAGAAAAUUUGAUACACACUUGAUAAGAAAUUUUGGAUAGUCUUGUAACUUCAGAAAACAAACACGAUUCCUUAUUAACUUUAAAAAGUCUUGCUGUGAUCAUUUGUUUCAGACUAUAGAAAUAUCUCCCAAUUGAAGGUUGAAUUCCUUUCUGCAUCAAAGAAAAUGCUUUCAAGAUCUGAUUGUUUCAAACUAAUUCAGUUUUCUACAAUCAUCUAGAGCCUCACUUUCUACUAAAUGACUGUUGUGUAUAGUCUAACUGAAAAGGACCUUAUUUAGGCUUAAUGUGGGAGACAAGAAUGCCUAGUUAAUAGCAUAUUUUAUAGGUCUAGUCCAUUGCGUUGCUACUGGUGGAUGAGUUUUGGUACAUUCAGACUCUGGGAUAACUUUAAAAAACAAGCCUUUCACGAAUAUAUGAAGUUAGCAUAAUUUAUUAAGCAUGAUUCUUCGAACUUCAAACUUUGAGGAUAUUUUAUCACUUGCUCUGAAUCUGUUGUGAGUCUUUGAUAUUUUUAUAGCAGAUUGUUUAGUCUGUAGAGAUUUCUUUAACUUAUUGGGAGGAGAUGGAAGAGUUGGAAGUGGAUCUUUGGAGGGCAUCGGUUGAUUGACCAGCAAACUAUUUUAUCUUGUUGAGUGGAAUUUUAAGAAGCUCUUUAAGAUCACUUGAAUCCUUAUCCAAAAUAUAAAGUUUCAUGAUUGUUGUUUCAGUUGCUGGCAACUUCCCUGCAUUCUCACUUGCAAAUAAAAUAUUUUCACUAUCCAAUAUGCAUUUUUUUUGUUAUUAGGAAGAGACUACCGAGCAACUCAAGUACAACACCCUAAUAUGAUAUAGAAGUUUGUUUGGUAUGCGCAAUGAUUAAUCAAUGAUCUUAUAAUCAUUAGUGGUUUAUGUAACAUUAGUUACUUGGAAUUCUUUUCGAUAAUUUAAAUAUAGUAAAGAAAUAUAUGCUUUCAAUACCAUAUAUAUUAUUUUUAAACACUUACAUGAGGUCAUCUGGAAGCAUCUUGUAUGUGAUAAUUUAGAUCCAUUUUCUUGUAAUGGCUUGACCGAAGAUGGAGCUCCUGUGGCUCUUUUAUCAUCACCUUAUGUAAAAUAGGGUGGAUUAUUAGAUUUUCUUAGUACUAUCAAAUACGAUGUCUUUUUUUUUCUUUCAAUUUUCCUGUGCACUUGGUUUCCUGUUUCAGAUGUUCUAUUCUGUUUAAACCAUUCCCUUGAUCCAUUCUUUUAGGUAUGAAUUGCCACAUUUCUUCUUCUUCAUUUCUGGACUGCAGCUGAGACAAUACCCAUAUAUGGUUUAGGCUUGCCAGCUUUUAUGCCUGAAAGUAACACCAGAGGUAGCCUCAGAUGCUUGGAGAAUGAGGACUCUUCAAGCUAAUCCUGAAUAAUUGGGAAAAGCCUUGAUAGCUGUGACAUUGAGUAGUUUUCGUGUCUGCAUGCAUAUGCAUCUUCUGUAUGCAAGAUUUUGUUUCUCAUGCAGUUAAUUGGAACUUUUUUUUUCCUUUAGGGAACCAAUCCCUGCUGCUUCCCAAAUCUGUCUGCUCGCAUGAACUUUUUUGCUAAUACAUCUGGUUUUUGUUGUCAACUCCUGUGACAGCUUUAUGCAGAAUCCUUAGCACGUUUUCAAGGUGGUUCGCCAUAUAUUUAUCCUCUAUAUGGAUUAGGAGAGCUCCCUCAGGUCAGUUUUGUGCUCAAAAACUCUACAGCUUGGCAGUAAUAUCAUGCUCAUCCAGUUAAUUUGAGUGUUACUGAAACUGCAGGCAUUUGCACGCCUUAGUGCUGUUUAUGGUGGGACGUACAUGUUGAACAAACCAGAGUGCAAGGUAUUUUUUGAUACUUAUCCACAUAACUGCAGGUUCUAUGAUUUAUACAAGGAGUACUUCAUGCAUGGAUGGUCCUGUGAAUUGUUAGAAUCAUUUUGAGAAUUGAUGCCUCUAAUUUAUUCAUGCCAGGUUGAAUUUGAUGAGGAAGGAAAAGUCUGUGGUGUGUCAUCUGAAGGGGAAACUGCAAGAUGUAAGAAAGUUGUCUGUGAUCCUUCCUAUUUACCAAACAAGGUAGAGGUUCUUAUCUUUUGUGUACUCAAUAACUGAGUAUUUUGAUUCUGUUUUUCAUCUAGCACCAGUGAUCAUAUACAUGAGGUGCACCUCAAAAUCUCGUAAGUCCUUUGGAAAGAUUUGCACUACAUUGCCUUUUAAUUCUUGAGUAGUUUCUGAUUCUGAGUUUCAUAGUCGAGUAACCACUCACAGAUAGAGUUUUAAUGAUUGGUGAUAGGUUAAGAAGGUUGGAAAAGUCGCGAGAGCCAUUGCUAUAAUGAGCCAUCCUAUCCCAAAUACCGAUGAUUCUCACUCAGUGCAGGUUAUACUUCCACAAAAACAACUGGGUCGCAAGUCAGACAUGUGAGUUAAUUCCUCCAACAAUUUUGUUUGUUGGGGUGUGGGGUUGGCUAGUGGUGUGUGUGUCAUUUGAAACUCUAUCAGUCUUUCUUUCCAAAUUAACUGUAUUUUUACUUUUUUAAUGCCCCUUGGUUGACCAAACAGGUACCUUUUCUGUUGUUCUUAUUCUCACAAUGUUGCCCCAAAGGGGAAGUUCAUUGCGUUUGUCUCAACAGAAGCUGAGACUAACCAGCCUCAAGUAGAACUAAAGCCGGGCAUUGAUCUUCUUGGCCCAGUUGAUGAGAUAUUUUUUGAUACAUACGACAGAUGUGAACCUGUCAAUGAACCCUUGCUGGACAAUUGCUUCAUAUCAACUGUAAGUCUAUUAUUCUUUCUCCUGCUUAACUUCGUGGAUACCUGUUUACACAUUUUCGAAUAUUGCAGAGUUAUGAUGCUACGACACAUUUCGAAUCAACUGUCAUGGAUGUGCUUGCUAUCUAUACGAAGAUCACUGGAAAGGUAAUGUUCACUCUUCAUCUUCUCUUAUUCCUUCAGAGUAAAGGUUGCUGCCUGCUUAGGACCAAGUAAAUUACUUCUGCUGUUUCUACUUGUCACACUUCUGGCUCACUCGUAGAGAUUUGUCAGAAUACAAUGUUUGCAAUACGAAGUUCAUAUUUAUACAUAGAUGUAAUAUUGAACCCGGUAGACCAAAUAUUCCACUUCUGUCUGAGAGGCCUGCUGUUAUUGCUCCUUUUGUCAUGUCUCUUGUCCAUUUUCAACCAUCAAUUACUGCUUUAGUAGUGCUGCCAUGUGGCACCAACUUUGUAUAGAUAAAUGCUGCUUAUGUUCUGCUAUCUAAUCUAAUAUAACAAUUACAGAAGCUUACAUCCCUUAUCCCACCAUCUAACUUUGAAUUUAUACCUUUCUUUUUUAAAGGUGCAGCUAAAUACACGCCUCAUAUAAAACAACCACCACCACCGAGGCUUUUCCAUAUCUGUUGCUUGACUUUUAUUAAUCCUGUUCUGCUAUCAAUUGCUACAGACAUUUACAUACUGCAUGCAAGCCUAUUUGAAUCCAUUUACACGUCACAGAACUCCUACCGAGGUCAUCAAUGGUAUAUCUCUUGUUUCUUGGCCAACCUUAAAUGUCAUGAUCCCUGUCUUCAGCCUUCACUCAUCUUUAUCUCUUUCCAGAUAAAGUAUUUUAGCUCUUAUUUUUCUGGGCCUUUGUGUACCUAUUCUAAUCCUCUACCUUAGCCCCUGUUUCUCCCAUUGAAGAUUUUAAAGUCUUUAUUGCAUUUCUAAUCCUCUUGUAUAUACUCUUUGGAGUCUUGACCACUGCCAUCUUAAAGUUUCACAUGAUCAUAGGCAUGGUAUGCCGUACCGAUCGAUACCGGUCGGUACCGAACGUACCGUAUCCGUACCGAUGGGUACCGGUAUCGAUACGCCAAUGUCGGUACGCUUGACGUACCGCAUACCGUACCGUACCGACACUCGGUACGUCUAUACUAGUGCGGCACCGGUACGGGGUUCGGUACCGGUACGACGAACCUAUUCAUAGCAUCUUGAUGAGAUCUUCAUUGCCUUUGCUCCUUGUUGCACUUUACCACACCUUCAGAUGGGAGAUCCAACACUAUUAUUCAGACCAGAACAUUUUUGUAGUGAGAUUUGAUUUUUCCCUUCCAACUUUGCAUGCGCUACUUAUCUUUUUUUUAAUUAUUAUUGUUAUUAUUGUAUUGCAACCAAUAAGAAACAAAUGCAUAUUUACUUUGGCAGACCAUUGAUCUUAGCGUGGAUCUCAGUGCUGCCAGUGCUGCCGAAGAAUGAGAAGCACGAAAUGACAGUUGCAAGGAUUUUCAGUCAGGUUUACUGUAAUUUCAUAAGAUUGGAGUUAAAUUUGUCUAAAUGAGGUUUCUCAGAUGCUUCUAUAGUCAUGUUCUUGGAUAUUUGUUUCCUGAAGUGCAAUUUUUCUUGAUAACGAAGAGGCCUUUCUUGUUUUGGAAUUUUGUCAUCUGGAAGAAUGGAUAUGAUUGCCAUUUGAUUAGAUAUUAUCUAUUAUUUAUGUAACUGGAGCAAUCCAUCUCGCUUUAUGCUAAUGCCCUUGUUUUUUUUUUUUUUUCCGCUGAAGAAUGCCCUUGUUUUCCUCUUAAAAAAAAUGUGCUGGUGAUUGCUUUGUAGUAGAAGAGGUCUAACUAACAUUACUUAUUUUGCUGAAACCAGUCAGUAUUCACCACCGAAUCGUCGAAUUCUUCUUGGGACUUGGGAGGGUCAGCCUGCAACGUCGAGGUCUUCGUAGCAAGGCAGACGAUGACUGCUGCCCCUUGAAUCCAUGCGGCAACUUGGAUUUCACUGAUCAAGGAUUCGAAUCCCAACCACGGACCCUGGAACAGGGUAGCAUCCCAUAUAUCAGGAUAGGACUGUCCUAUCAUCAUUUCAGUGUCUCGACUGGCACAUUUUGAGAUAUCUCCAAUCCAAGUGCCGAGAUGGAGUGGCAUGGCGGCAUGUUUCGUUCCACAGAUAAAUUGGAACAAUCUCGUCAUGCGAGNNNNNNNNNNNNNNNNNNNNUGGGCAGCAAAGGAGAAAAGAAAAGUAAAAAAAAAAAUUGUGGCUGUGAAACGGUCUCUGCUGGGGGGGGGACAUCGGUUGAGUAGCGAAAAGGAUUGUACCUUAUUAGGAGGGGCCACCCCUUCCCUCGCAAGGCGUUUUUUAAAAGACAGCCGUGAGGAAAAAAUUGCCGUGCAUAAGCUACGCACGAUGUUAAGCACAUGCGUACUUUUCCAAAACGGACAAUACCUUGCGCUGGGAUGUAAUCCCAUUUUCUGCUCUAACAGAUGGCACUACAGGAAGGGCUCCCUCAAAACUUCUCCGCACGAAUCCUUCCCACUGGAGGGGCUAGCAUUGUAGGGCGGAGGAGAGCUCGGAACUUUAGUUCAACAUCGAUUGAGUAGUGAAAAGGAUUAUGCCUUGUAAAGAAGGACCACCCUUGCAAGGCGACUUUUAAAGGACAAAGUUGUGAGGGAGAAAUUACCGAACACGAUGUCAAACACGUGCGUACUUCUCGAAAGCGGAUAAUACCUUGCGCUGAGAUGCAGUUCCAUUCCCUGCUCUAACAAUCUCCUUAAAUAAUUUACUUUAUUGUUCGAGAAUUUACAAAUAAGAUCUCAUAGCAUUAUUUUGAAAGGGGGCUCUUAUAGCAUUGUUAAAAAUAAAGGAACAGAAAAUGCCGUGGGGUGACCUGGGAUUCAACUAUUUGGUGUACGAUACUAAGCUCUUGACUUUUCAUAAUCCUAUGGAAGAUACCUAAAGGUGGUAGCCGUAGGUAGUCAUAUGAGAUAAUGUUUGACCAUAUGUAGCCCUAGAUAUUCAUGGUUAAAGCAUAAAGCGAAACUAAAUAAAGGGACUCCAGAAGGUUUUACUAUUAGAAUAUUUAAUCAAACAACGUGUGCAAGUCAAGACUCUGGCCACGGGAGGGGAACCAUUUUGGUUUUCCUUUCCAUGGAACAAAUGAGAACGAAAAAAGAUAAAACUAUGAAAUGGCUUCAGGCUUUGGAGUCAAGUCCUGACUGCAAACAUUCGCAAUAAUAUAUAUAUAAUUGAGCUAGAAAUUAUUGAUCACAGAUUAAACUUGCAAAACCAGAGGGCAACUUCUCAUCAUUAUCCUUUGACUAGGAAAAAGACAAGGGGAUGGAAAGCAAUGCUUGAUUCACGGAAUUGCUUCCACCUUGAUGCCAGUUAAUCAAAACCGCAAACCAAUCUUUAACCUUUCCAAUGAAAGUUUAUACAUCAUUACAUGUGUAACUUCCAUGCUCAAUAUUGCCCAAAUCAAUUUGGCUCAGCAUAAACAACCUGGUGUACAUAUGCGUCUGCAAGGCACGAUCUAACUUUGCCAACAUAGAAAUCAUAUACCAUGGCAUCUGCUCUGCAAAGUUUAAUAAUUAUUUGUAAAAAUUAAUCUAGUUUAGCACUACAAAAUCUUUGCCUCUUUUAAAGUUUGUAAUCAUAUUGUCAAAAUUUCUUGGUUUAGCACUUCAACGUGUGGGUGUCAACCAAAAAAGUUCCUUGCUUGAAGCCUCCAUAGAACAUCUGGAGGAAGUCCAGGCACAAAUCCGACAUCACCUCUCAGGGUCUGCCUCCUCUGGAAUUACAGUCAAAGUCACCAAUCUGUUUUUUUCUCGUUUAACAAGCACUUUCAAAGGUUGCCCAACCUUAUCCCCCAUUAUAUCAAUAAUCUGUAACGAAAUUGGUAAAGAUUUUUAGAGCCUCCUACGAAAAUUAUGAAAAGGUCAUGGUUUUUAGAAUAUGUUCUGAUGCAAGGAAAUCUAGGGAAAGGGAAAAAAAUAUAAAGUUUUCACGGAAAAAGAAAAUUUUUUUGAAAUUCAAAUUUGUGUUAAAAAACAAAUAACUAGAUUUUCCAAGAAAAAUUCGUUUCCACAGCACUUCUCUUUCCAACCAAAUGCACCAUCAGUAACCUACUCAGAGCGCAUUCAUAGGGUGAGCCCAUAAGCAUCAUAGAAUUUGGGUCAGAGAAGGCUGGAUUUUUCUCUUUCUUUCUUUCUUUUUUCUUUUUCCCAAGGUGGGGAUUUUACUGUAUACAAUAUUUUGGUUUCACUCAGGCUGCAAGCAUUCAGGUGCAUGAUCAUGUUAGAGGGAAUUAGUCUGCAGAAAAUUUGAAGUACAAUACCUCUUUGAUGCCUCCAACAGGUUUUCCCUCAAAUUCAAUGACUACAUCGCCUGGGCGAAAUCCAGCACGUUCAGCUGGGGAUCCUGGAGUCACCUGGUUGAUCAUAUGGGUAUAUCAGUUACCAGGUGUCUCACAUGCAUACAACACAAAGUGCAUCAUAUAAGCAAAGAGGCAUCAGUGGAAUGAAGUAAGAAUGGAUACUUUACACAACCUAUGCAAGUUAAUUUUCUUGGACAAAUAACAAGCAUAUUACAUGCACAGAGGAAACUUAUGCGCACAAAACAUUUAUUUGA
rnacentral:lncRNA from 1 species